UCCUGCUCCCCCUGCUUGUGCGCUCUCUAUCUCUCGCUCUGUCAAAUAAAUACAUAAAAUCUUAAAAAAGUAUUUUGAGUGAGGAGUAUAGUUAGGGGUAGAAGCAGUUCUAGGGCAUAUUCAUAUAUUUCUUCAGUAAGUGUUGCGCUCUGAGCUCUUUCUUUUUUCUGCGCAAAGCCUAAGAUGCUUAGGAUGGGACACCUGGAUGGCUCUGUUGGUUAAGCAUCCAUCUCUUGGUUUCAGCUCAGGUCAUGUUCUCAUGGUGGUGAGAUCAAGCCCAGGUCAGGCUUUGCACUCAGUGUGGAGUCUACUUCAGAUUCUUUCCCCCUCUCCCCUCCACCCAAGCACUUGCAUGUGUGCAUGCUCUCUCUUUCUUUCUCAAAUAAAUAAAAUUAAAAAUAAAAAGAUGCUUGGGAUGUUUUUGGAAGAUAAUGAAUAUAGUUUGACUAGAGUGUAGAUUGAAAUCAAUAUAACAUUUUAUAUUUACAAAUUUAUACAUGUGUAUAUAUACACAUAUAUAUUCAUACAUAAGAGUAAGAUAAGAGUAUAAAUUAUGAUGCUUUAAAUGUCAGAAGAUAUUGGUCAGUGGGAACCAUUAUUUGAAUUGUGGUAACAUUAAAAUAGAUGUUUUAAGAACAAUUUAGAAGCAUUGAGUUUGAUUUUGAGAAUUAAAGUAAAACGAGGUAUGGUGUAAGAAGGAAUGUUAGUUGUAUAAACUGUAUUCAGUAUUAAGGUAACUCACUUUUGAGAUACGCAGUCAGGGCUCUUAAGAAUACUGUUUCUUGAAAGACGUUUAAAAUCUAGGUGCAAUGAAAAGACAUAAUGUGAUAAAUUUGGUCAGUAUGUCACUUGAACUUUGAGCAUUAGGCCUAAAAGUUCCUCUAAUCUGUUUAACUCCCAAAUCAGAAUGUGUAUUAGAUAGACUUUAUUUUUGUAGUUCUAAUGGUUUAUGCAUUAACUGUACUCCUGCCUCACCUGCUUCUCUCAGGUUUCACCCCAAAUGUAUAUUAGAUAGAAGGAUUUAUGUUAUGGGCCCUCUCCUCUCCCCACGAUGGCGUGUGCUCGUCCAUUGAUAUCUGUGUACUCCGAAAAGGGGGAAUCAUGUGGCAAAAAUGUUACUUUGCCUGCUGUGUUCAAGGCUUCCAUUAGAUCUGAUAUCGUGAACUUUGUUCACACCAACUUGCGCAAAAACAACAGACAGCCAUAUGCUGUCAGUGAAUUAGCAGGUCAUCAAACCAGUGCUGAGUCUUGGGGUACUGGCAGAGCUGUGGCUUGAAUUCCCAGAGUUUGAGGCAGAGGGACUCACCGUUCUGGCCAGGGUGCUUUUGGAAAUAUGUGUCAUGGGGGCUGCAUGUUUGCACCAACCAAAACCUGGCGCUGAUGGCAUCGUGCAGUGAACACAACACAGAAGUGAUAUGCCAUCUGCUCUGCCCUGGCUGCCUCAGCCUUACUAGGACUGGUCAUGGCUGAAGGUCAUCGUAUUGAGGAAAUUCCUGAUCUUCCUUUGGUGGUUGAAGAUAAAGUUGAAGGCUACAAGAAGACCAAGGAGGCUCUUUACCUUCUUAAGAAACUUAAAGCCUGGACUGAUAUCAAAAAGGUCUAUGCCUCUCCGCGAAUGAGAGCUGGCAAGAGCAAAAUGAGAAACCGUUGUAUUCAGCUCAAGAGACUUCUACAAUGAAGACAGCGGUAUCAUCAAGGCCUUCAGAAACAUCCCUGGAAUUACUUUACUUAAUGUAAGCAAACUGAACAUUUUGAAACUUGCUCCUGGUGGGCAUGUGGGACAUUUUUGCAUUUGGACUGAAAGUGCUUUCCGCAAGUUGGACGAUCUGUAUGGCACUUGGCUUAAGGCUGCCUCCCUCAAGAGUAACUACAACCUUACCGUGCAUACUUAAUACAGACCUUAGCAGAAUCUUGAAAAGUCCAGAGAUCUAAAGAGCCCUCCGAGCACCACGCAAGAAGAUUCAUCGCAGAAUCCUGAAGAAGAAUCCAGAAGAACCUGAGAAUCAUGUUGAAGCUAAACCCAUAUGCAAAGACCAUGCGCCGGAAUACCUUUCUUCACCAGGCCAAGAAUCACAAACUCCAAAUGGAUAAGGCAGCAGCAGCCUUAGAAGCCAAAUCAGAUGAGAAGGGGGUUCCAGGCAAGAAGCCCGUGUGGUAGGGAAAAAAGGAAAGAAGGCUGUUGGUGUGAAGAAGCGGAAGAAACCUGUGGUGGGGAAAAAGGCUGCAGCUACCAAGAAACCAGCAGCUGACAAGAAGCCUGCAGAAAAGAAACCCACUGCGGAGAAGCCUGCUGCCUAAAAACUUAGGUUUAUUCUAUAAAAGUCAAAUCAUUUUGGACAGCUAAUUUUGAAUAAAGACCUGAUCAAAGCCAGUGGAGAAAAGGAAAAAAAAAAGGAUUUAUGUUACAAGUAAUUAUAUGAAAGUGGAAAGGAGUACAUGCUGGCAAACAGCUCAGUACUCACUCUAAUCUAGCAGUCCGUGUAUACACUUAGUGAGUGAGCCACCAUUUUGAUAUAAAAAUCGUAAGUUUUAUUUAACUCCCAAGCUCACAUGUUUUCACCCCUGAAAGAUGGAUGUUUUUGUUGCUGUUUAAAAAUUUAGUGUACAUAUAGAGAUUGUCUGAACUAAUGGUUUCAUUCAUAAUUCAACAAAUAGCGUGCUGUGUAUCAGUAUAGUUUUAUAGAUUCUGGACCACACAAAUGAAUACAUUCUUAUUGCCUUUGCAGAAUUUAAAAGUCCUAGUGCAGAAAAGACAGAGAGUAAUAAGUAAAAUGAAAAAAAAAAAAUUAGGUUGUAAACUUAAAGCCCUGACAUAUGAGAGUUAAAUGGUGUUCAGGAAAGUAUUAGAUUACUAAUCUUGAGGUGCAGGUUUUAGUUUUUAGUCCUAGAACUGCCAUUAAUUCAUUACAUUUUUUUAGUUAAUAUCUCUAGCUCUCCAUUUCUUCCUCUAUAUUAUUCUUCCUCUCCCCUUCUCCCACUUCUUCCUCUCAUUUCUAAUGGAGUUGAAAUUUUUGAAGUCCUUAUAUUAUCUAAAAGAUGAUUGGAUUAGUUGCUUUAAAGGAAAUCUGAGAUUCUUGUGGUAUAUGUAAUAUUAUUUUUAAAGCUUUGUAACUUUUUAUUAAAUCAUUCAAAACCAAAAAUGGACAAAAUAGGAUAAUAAACUCCCGAAGCAAACCUCUCGAGCAUUAUAUCAUUUCAUUAUUAUUUCAAAAUGUAUUCCUAAAAUAUAGAAUAUUUUUCAAAAUCACAUGAUGGUUAGCACACUUAAAAAUUUAUUAAUUAUUACUGUAAUUAAAAAUAGCUAUUAACUGUUUUACUAAAAGCAUAUACGUAUGUUAUGGUGUGUCUCUUAUGUUUGAAAUAUAGCUUACAAAAAUACAUAAACUGUAGUUUAAUAAGUAACUAUAAAGUGAACAUGUGAAUAAAGAAAUAGUGUAUCGGGGUGCCUGGUUGGCUCAGUCAGUUAAGUGUCCAACUCUUGCUAUCAGCUCAGGUCUUGAUCUUAGAGUCAUGAGUUCAAGUUCUGCAUUGGGCUCGAUGUUGGGCGUGGAGGCUACUUAAAAAAAGAGAGAGGGAGGGAGCAAGCAAGAGAGAGAGGGGGAGAGAGAGAGAAAGAAAAUAUCAACACACCCAAACUUCUAUAAGCAGUGGAAUCAAUGCAGUCUUAGUUUGCUUAUAAUGUCAUUGUCUAUGUAUGCAUCUCUAAAAAUAUAGUUUGUUUUUUUCUGGUUUUAGUUUUUGAAUUUUAUAUGAAUGGAAUCACAUCAUAUGAUUCCUUGUGAUAUACAUCUUAUUCAGUAUUAUGUUUGAGCUUCAUCCAUGUUAUUACUUAUAUCUGUUUUUCAAUUAUUUUUAUUGCUGAAUAGUACUCUGUUGUACUACUUAUCCAAUCUUCUGUUGACAUUUGAUUUCUAGUUUUUUUUUGGCAUUUACGAACAACAUUGCUGUGAAUAUACUUGUAUACGUAUUCUGUGUAUAUGUACAACCUGCUUUAGGGCAUAGAUAUACACAUAAGUGAAAUUGUUGAGUCAUUGGGUGUGCAUAUCUUCUACUUCACUGAAAACACCAAAGUAGUUGUAACAAUUUACAUUUCAGUUAACAGCGAAUGAGAACUCUCAUUUUCUUUGUUGGACUUCUAAAAGGUUGAUCUAAUUUUACCAGUGAGGAAACUUAAAAAGAUCUUUUACUUUACUCUUCCCCAAGGUAGUGACUUUAAAAAACCAACUGUAGGGGCACCUGGGUGGCUCAGUCGUUAAGCAUCUGCCUCUGGCUCAGGUCAUGAUCCCAGGGUCCUAGGAUCGAGCCACGCAUUGGGCUCCCUGCUCCAUGGGAAGCCUGCUUCUCCCUCUCCCACUCCCCCUGCUUGUGUUCCUUCUCUCGCUGUGUCUCUGUCAAAUAAAUAAAAUCUUUAAAAAAUAAUAAAAUAAAUAAAUAAAUAAUAAUAAACCAGCUGUAGGGGCACCUGGGUGGCCCACUUGGUUAAGUGUCUGCCAGGAUUCUGGGAAGGAGCCCGGACACUGGGCUCCCUGCUCAGCGGGGAGCCUUCUCCCUCUCCUUUUGCCACUCCCCCUGCUUGUGCUUGCUCUCUCCCUCCCUCUCUCUCUGUGUCAAAUAAAUAAAAUCUUAAAAAGCUGUAUUGACUUCAUAAUUGAGAAAUACAAUAGGUUGCACAUACUAAACUAUGCAGUACGAAAUAAUAAUAUAUCUAGUCUUUGUUACCGGUUCUUAGCAUAGAGAUUCAAAAACCCUUGGAAUAUCCUGAGUCCGAGGAGUGUCUUUGUUAUGCUAAUUGGGCAACUCUUGGCCUGCCCCUAGACUCUUAGAGGGUCAUCAGAAAGUCCAAGCACGGGUUAGAGAGUUGGAACUUUGCCACCUGACCUGGAAGAGGUGGGAGGCUAGAGAUUGAGUUCAGUCAUACGAUAAUUAAUCCUAUAUUAAAACCCUAAUAAACCUGGAUACCAAGGUUCAGAGGAGUUCACUGGUUGGUGAACACAUUGGUGUCCUGGGAGAGUGUUGUGUUGGAUUCCACCAGAAGAGGGCAUGAAAGCUCUUUGUCCCCCUCUUUCAUCCCCAAGUGUUUUUUCCAUUUGGCUUUCCUGAGUUGCAUCCUUUAUAGUAAAGCUGUAAUUAUAAGUAUCGUGCUUUAGGUGAGUUCUGUGAGUUGUUCUGGCAAAUUAUUGAACCUGAGGGUGUUGUAGGAAGUCCCAAAGAUACAGCUGGUUUGUCAGAAAUAUGGGUGGCCUCCAGGGCUUGUAGGUGGCAUCUGAAGGGGGGGCGGGGCAGUGUUGAGAAGAAUUUUGUCCUCUAACUUGUAGGGUUUGUGCUAAUUCCUGGUAGUUACUGUCAGAACUGAAUUGAAAUGUAGUACACUUAGUUGGUGUCAGAGAAUGGCUCUCAGGAUGUAAGUUUGACAAGUUUUAACAUACAUGUAUACAGCCUUGAACUGUCAUCACAAUCAAGAUAAUGAACAUAUGUGUCACCCCCAAAUGUUUCCCCCAGUCCUUUUUAAUCCACUCUACUCCCCAUUUGUGUCUGGCUUUUUUGGCUUAGCAUAUUUUUGAGAUUUAUUUAUGGUGUUGCCUAAAUGACGUUCUUUUUUAUUGUUAUUAGUAGUUUUUUAUAUGUGUAUACCACAAUGGAUUUAUUCAUUUACCUGUCAAUAGAUAGUUAUUACAAUUUAGGGCGUUCUGAGUAAAGCUUUUAUGAACCUUGUAUUUGUGUGAACAUUUGUUUUCAUAAAUACUUAAGGGUGGAAUUUUUGGCUUGGAUUUUAGGUGUAUCUUUAACUUUAUGAAAAAUGGCCAGUUUUCCAAAGUGGUUAUACCAUUUUAUAUUCUUACCACCAGUGUAUAAUUUUUUUUUUUAUAAAGUGUUCAUAUCUUUCUCCUAUUUUUAUACUGUGUUAGAGGACUCAUACACCUACCUGAUUUCAAAACUUAAUGUGAAGCUACAGUAAUCAAAACUAGGUGGUUUUAUUAAAAUGAUAGAUAAAUAGAGCAAUGGAACAUAAUAGAGAGUCCAGAAAUAGACCUGCACAUUACAGUCAGUUUUAUUUUCAACAAAGAUGCCAAGAC